UACGUAGGGGGCAAGCGUUGUCCGGAAUUACUGGGUGUAAAGGGUUCGUAGGCGGUGUGGCAAGUCGGGAGUGAAAUCUCUGGGCUCAACCCAGAGACUGCUUCCGAAACUGCUGUGCUUGAGUGUGAGAGAGGCUCGUGGAAUUGCAGGUGUAGCGGUGAAAUGCGUAGAUAUCUGCAGGAACACCCGUGGCGAAAGCGGCGAGCUGGAUCACUACUGACGCUGAGGAACGAAAGCUAGGGGAGCAAACAGG
rnacentral:rRNA from 1 species